UACGGGGGGGGCAAGCGUUGUCCGGAUUUAUUGGGCGUAAAGAGCUCGUAGGCGGCUUGUUGCGUCAGCUGUGAAAACCCGCAGCUCAACUGUGGGCUUGCAGCUGAUACGGGCAGGCUUGAGUUCGGUAGGGGAGACUGGAAUUCCUGGUGUAGCGGUGAAAUGCGCAGAUAUCGGGAGGAACACCAGUGGCGAAGGCGGCGACCUGGGCCAAUAUUGACGCUGAGGUGCGAAAGCGUGGGGAGCAAACAGG
rnacentral:rRNA from 1 species